AGGCCGUUUUAUCAACAGAUCUUAGCAUGAUCUUACGUAAGAUUCGUAGGAUUUUGUCGUACGCUUAUCGUAAGUACUGCGUACCGUUUUAUCAAAGAAAUCGCAGCUAAGAUGUCGUAAGAUUUGUGCUUUAAGCUACGACUGGGUAAGACCACUCUUAGCGUUCGUAAACCUUCGUAAACAUGGCGGCCGCACGCGCUUUAAACGUUGGUCAACCAAGAGAGAUGAGAAUGUUUCGAGAAAGAAAGGAUUUAGCGAUCUCCGUGAUGGAGAAAUAUUGAUACUAUUGGACGUAUUUAUGUUUGAUAACGUUAAAUAUAUUCGUUAUAUCAUUCUCUGCAUUAAACGUCCAAGGGAAAUGAAAUUCAUGAUGUUUGGAUAAUUAAUUCGUUAAAUAGGUUCAUUGAGAUUGUGUCAAAAUGGCUUGGGUCAACACACAGGACGCCUCUGUCUUUGUCCGUGGUUUGAAGACUUUUCUGGAAGAAAACCACAAGAGACACCUACUGGGGGACUCCGGCUAUCAACAAUAGGUACAACAAUGCCCAGUCAAGUGUACUGUGGUUGAUAGGGCUUUUGGACUGCCAAAGAGUAGAUUUAGGUGUCCGCAUAAAACUGGCGGUUGUUUAUUCAUGAGACUCGAUGAGUGCUGUCAAGCAGUGGCUGCAUGAAUGCGCCUGCACACCUUAUGCAUAGAUUAGCAGGUGCCACUGCCUGAACAACUUACUUAGGCAGAAGAAGUGGAUGACGUUGUGCACAGUCCACAACAGGACCAAAAUGCAGCUUAUAUGGACAACACAUCAUUAACUUAUUUAUGUAGUUGCUAUUUUAUGCUCACAUGUGCACGAAGUGCUAUAGGUGAGUCAAUGUGGUCAGUCUAUGUUCGGCGACAUGUGUUAAUAUUCAAUAUUUGACUCUUUGUUGAUGAAAGAUGGUCAUUAUGUUUCUGCUAAUGAUACAAAAUAACUUAAUAAGUUAAUGAUUUCUUGUCUAUGAGCUGCUGCAUUUUGGUCAAGUGUGGUCAACAUCUUUGUAAAAGUGUGGAUAUUGACAAUUUCUGCCGUUCUUUUUUGGAUUGUUUUCAUUGAAGACACACUUUUUACAAUAAGCAUUUAUGCAAUGCGUAGGAUGAUUACAUGUUUCUUUUAUAGUAUAACAAAGUGAAAAUAAAUUCUACUCCUUUAUUUAAUUAUCUUUGUAACAUAACAAUACAGGGUUUUCUCCAACAACUCUACAGCUAGGGAACAAUGAAGUGGAACACUAUCUGAAAAUGAAAUACAUUUUAUGUUAAUAAAAUUUGUAUUUGUAAGACAAGUGAUGAAAUAAAAGGUUAACAUUGUAACAUAAAGA